GACGAACGCUGGCGGCGUGCUUAACACAUGCAAGUCGAACGAAAAUACCAAGCUUGCUUGGUUGAUUAGUGGCGAACGGGUGAGUAACACGUGAGUAACCUGCCCUCUUCUUUGGGAUAACGCCCGGAAACGGGUGCUAAUACUGGAUAUUCACUGGCCUUCGCAUGGGGGUUGGUGGAAAGGUUUGUUCUGGUGGGGGAUGGGCUCGCGGCCUAUCAGCUUGUUGGUGGGGUGAUGGCCUACCAAGGCUUUGACGGGUAGCCGGCCUGAGAGGGUGACCGGUCACAUUGGGACUGAGAUACGGCCCAGACUCCUACGGGAGGCAGCAGUGGGGAAUAUUGCACAAUGGGCGAAAGCCUGAUGCAGCGACGCCGCGUGAGGGAUGGAGGCCUUCGGGUUGUAAACCUCUUUCGCUCAUGGUCAAGCCGCAACUGUGGGUUGUGGUGAGGGUAGUGGGUAAAGAAGCGCCGGCUAA
rnacentral:rRNA from 1 species